ACGAACGCUGGCGGCGUGCCUAAUACAUGCAAGUCGAACGCUUCUUUCCUCCCGAGUGCUUGCACUCAAUUGGAAAGAGGAGUGGCGGACGGGUGAGUAACACGUGGGUAACCUACCCAUCAGAGGGGGAUAACACUUGGAAACAGGUGCUAAUACCGCAUAACAGUUUAUGCCGCAUGGCAUAAGAGUGAAAGGCGCUUUCGGGUGUCGUUGAUGGAUGGACCCGCGGUGCAUUAGCUAGUUGGUGAGGUAACGGCUCACCAAGGCCACGAUGCAUAGCCGACCUGAGAGGGUGAUCGGCCACACUGGGACUGAGACACGGCCCAGACUCCUACGGGAGGCAGCAGUAGGGAAUCUUCGGCAAUGGACGAAAGUCUGACCGAGCAACGCCGCGUGAGUGAAGAAGGUGUUCGGAUCGUAAAACUCUGUUGUUAGAGAAGAACAAGGUCGUUAGUAACUGAACGUCCCCUGACGGUAUCUAACCAGAAAGCCACGGCUAACUACGUG
rnacentral:rRNA from 1 species